UAGGUUUGUUUUGUAUGGUCGCAACUAUU
rnacentral:piRNA from 1 species